GACGAACGCUGGCGGCGUGCUUAACACAUGCAAGUCGAACGGAAAGGCCCUGCUUUUGUGGGGUGCUCGAGUGGCGAACGGGUGAGUAACACGUGAGUAACCUGCCCUUGACUUUGGGAUAACUUCAGGAAACUGGGGCUAAUACCGGAUAGGAGCUCCUGCUGCAUGGUGGGGGUUGGAAAGUUUCGGCGGUUGGGGAUGGACUCGCGGCUUAUCAGCUUGUUGGUGGGGUAGUGGCUUACCAAGGCUUUGACGGGUAGCCGGCCUGAGAGGGUGACCGGCAACAUGGGGACUGGGUAGCGGCCCAGCACCUUACGGGGGGAAGAAGUGGGGAGUAUUGCACAAGGGGCGAAAGCCUAGGGGAGCAACGCCGCGGGGGGGAUAGGGGCCUUGGGGUUGUAACCCGUUUUGGCGUGUGACGAGGGGUGAGUGACGGUAAUGGGUAAAGAAGCACCGGCUAACUACGU
rnacentral:rRNA from 1 species